AUACGGAGGGUGCGAGCGUUAAUCGGAAUUACUGGGCGUAAAGCGCGCGUAGGCGGUUUGGUCAGUCGGAUGUGAAAGCCCCAGGCUCAACCUGGGAAUGGCAUUCGAUACUGGCAAACUAGAGUAUAGAAGAGGCAAGUGGAAUUCCGGGUGUAGCGGUGAAAUGCGUAGAUAUCCGGAGGAACAUCAGUGGCGAAGGCGACUUGCUGGUCUAAUACUGACGCUGAGGAGCGAAAGCGUGGGGAGCGAACGGGAUUAGAAACCCCGGUAGUCC
rnacentral:rRNA from 1 species